UCCCUCCAGAGGUACCGCACGACGUCCUCAGCUCGUCGUGUGCGAGGUUGGGCCAAGCCAAAUUCCGGACGCAACGGUCCCGCGUCGCC
rnacentral:rRNA from 9 species